GUGUAGGAUGUGGAACGAUCAUUUCUUUUGAGAUGGCAAAAAAAAAAAAUGAAAUGUGGAGAUAAAUUGUUGUGUAAACCAUGUUCAAGGUUGACAAAAUCAAAGCACAUUUGUGGUAUAUGCAAGAAGAUAAGGAAUCAUUUGGACCGUCAAACCUGGGUGCGCUGGGAUGGUUGUAAAGUCUGGGUACACGCAGAGUGUGACCAAAUAUCAAAUAAGCAUCUAAAGGGUGGUAUGUAAGUGUGGCUCCUGUGGACCUAAAAGGAAAGCACUUAGUGAAUGGGAAAGACAUACCGGAUCAAAGUCAAAAAAUUGGAAGACCAGUUUGAAAGUCAAAGCUCGAAGCUGUCACUAGAAGAAUGGGUUUGUACAUUUUACUCUUAUGGUCUCUUUCAGUUAUAUUGGCUUCUUACUUCUGAGUUGUAUCUGACUUACUUAAAAUUAUUUGAAUGAUCAACCUAUGUAGGUUUCUCUAGUGUAAAUAAAUUUUGUAAAAUACUUAAAGGGUUGCUUUCAUUAGUUUAAUCUUAAUUAUAUGAUUAAUUUAUU